GACUUAUUUGUCGCUCUUUACCCGGAUUCACUGGGCGUAAAGGGCGCGUAGGCGGUUUGGCAAGUCGUCUGUGAAAGCCCCCGGCUCAACUGGGGGAGGUCGGACGAAACUGCCAGGCUGGAGGACGGCAGAGGAAGGUGGAACGACCGGAGUAGCGGUGAAAUGCGUAGAUACCGGUCGGUAUCCCGAUGGCGAAGGCAACCUUCUGGGUCGUUCCUGACGCUGAGGCGCGAAAGCGUGGGGAGCAAACCGGAUUAGAUAACCGCGUAGUCC
rnacentral:rRNA from 1 species